UACGUAGGGGGCAAGCGUUGUCCGGAAUUACUGGGCGUAAAGGGCUCGUAGGUGGCCAACUAAGUCAGACGUGAAAUCCCUCGGCCUAACCGGGGAACUGCGUCUGAUACUGGAUGGCUUGAGUUCGGGAGAGGGAUGCGGAAUUCCAGGUGUAGCGGUGAAAUGCGUAGAUAUCUGGAGGAACACCGGUGGCGAAGGCGGCAUCCUGGACCGACACUGACACUGAGGAGCGAAAGCCAGGGGAGCAAACGGG
rnacentral:rRNA from 1 species